CUUCAGCUUUGGUCCCUCGGGGCGUCUGGGCAGCCUACGCUUUCCGGAUAAAAAUGGCAGAAUGAAAGAAUUAUGAGUGGAACUAGAGAAUAGGAAAGACAUGAACCAACGCCCAAAAUGAGAAAGAAGGACAUAUAAAGAAAAAGACAAAUACAAGUGAAAAAAAUAGACUAAUGGAUUAACGUCCCUGUCGUGUGACAUUUUCUGACUGGAAUCAGCCAUUUUACCAAGAAAGUUGGGUUUCUUUUACUGGCAAAUAGUACUUCAAGAGCACAGUCUUAUGUAAGAAGUACAGUCUAUAUAAAGACUGUCCAGGACAAAAACUGGCCACUCCAUUCAGCAUUGACAGCAGUAUUUAAAGCUGGUGCAUGGUGAGGUGAAGUUUCUCAAGGGCAAAGACAAUGCCUUCAUGCAUGUUCAGUGUCUGCCCCCGUGGGCUUUGAAAUGAUCGCUGACAAUGGGGGAUCUGCAGUGACUUCUCUGCCUCUGCCAAAGCCCAGGGGUGCUGCUCCCUAAUUCUAAGGAUUCUAAUGAGACUCAGAGCAGGUGUAACACAGGGCAUGGAGCUUCCUGAGCAAGAGGCUGGCUAACAAACUGUGGACGUGGUACUUAGACACAUUAAGAGACAUUACAGGGACACCUGCAAGUAUGUCUCCCUGGGGAGAAGCCAAGUGCAGAUGCUAUGGCCACAGAUGAUAUGGUUUGGCUCUGUGUCCCCACUCAAAUCUCAUCUCAAGUUGUAAUCCCUGGAUGUCGAGGGAGGGACCUGGUGGGAGGUGAUUGGAUUGGUUCGCAUGAUAGUGAGGGAGUUCUCACGAGAUCUGG
rnacentral:lncRNA from 10 species